rnacentral:lncRNA from 1 species
AUCCAAAGUCUUGGCACUAAUCUUCCAGAGUCAAAAAAACUGACGUGAGAACCUUGAUAAUAAUAUUUAACAUUUUUGAGUAUACAUUGUGGCCAAACACUAUGAUAAAAGCUUUAUAUGCAUUUACCUCACUCAGUUCUCAUGACCUUACUUUAUGGGGAAGGUAAUGGGUUGCGCAGAAGCAGACCUGCAGAUGAAGACUCACGGCCAGUGAUUCAUUUAGAAAGUGCCCUUACUUGAGACCACCAGGGGAAGGGGAAGGAAGCAGGAAGGUGAGAAGCCAAGCGGGAGCACGGUCAGACAGUCCCACUCUCAGCCUGGUCCCAGGCAGGCUCCGGAGCAUAAGCGACACCUCAGAGCUGGUUUCACAUUCCUGCACCAGUGGUCAAAGGCGAAGUGUUCCCGGCAGGGGAGAUGGAGGGAUAAGUGUACGCUCCGGGCAUUUUAGGCUCUCUGGCUUUGGUGAGUUGGCAGAAGUGGCUCCAGUAGCAGGCAGGAAAUCCUCCAAGGCGAGUCCCAGGCGUGGGCUGUUAAAGGUAAACUCAUUGUUCCAUCUUCAAACUGGCCCCCUGGACUGGCUGCAACCCCAGCUAUUCGCUGGCUUCUGCUUCUCUCUGAUUCUAAGGAGGCCGUGUGCAUGUGCAAAAGGAGUGGAGUGGGAAGAAAUGGCCAGCAGCAAUAUCAGUGUGGAAGCCCCCAUGCAGUGGUGAGGGCCAGAAGAGGAGAGUGUCGGAGAGGAAAAAAGUCCAUCUUCCCCCGGGGAUAAGCAUUCCAAAAACAGGCAUCCUGUUCCUUUUUAUCAAAAUCACUAACUUAUUAUGUAUUCUUGGGCAUCUGGCACUAUAAAGUUCCAGAUGUUCUGCUCUUGACUUUCACAACCUUCAACAGGAACGGAUAUUCAGAUCAUUCGAGGUGAGUGGAAACAUGGCAGAUUAUUUCUGACAGAUAUCAGAAAGGGCAUUCCUCCAAUAGGUUUCCUGGAGCCAUCCAAUCGCCAGACUUGCAAAUCAAGCCCAAGCGGUUCACAAUAGUAUAAUUGUCAUUUUCAUCACCACAGGCACAGCCAUUUUAGGAGGGAACCCUCAGCCCCCUGUCCAUGUUUCAGCAGUUUUCACACCCCUCUCCACAAUGGCAGAGUCUUGGAGCAACAUUUCCAGAGCCUCUCUCUAUCUCCUAUUGGCUCCUCCCCUACAGAGCACUGGCCGACCUGAUUGGUGGAGUGGAAUUAGGAGAUGGGGCAUUUGGCAGGCGAUUAGAUCAUGCAGGUAGAGCCUUCGUGAAUGGGAGUAGUGCCCUUAUAAAAGAGACCCCAGAGAGUUCCCUCGCUCCUUCUGCCAUGUAAGGACACAGAGAAAAGACAGCCAUCUAUGAACCAGGAAGCGCGCCCUCACCAGACGCAGAAUCUGGUGUGCCUUGAUCGUAGACUUCCCAGCCUACAGAACUGUGAGAAAUAAAUUUCUGUUGUUUAUGUCACCCAGUCUAUGGUAUUUUUGUUGUAGCAGCCCAAACGGACUAAAACAUCAUGAAAGUCCUAAAAACAAGAGGCAAAAAUAGAAGAUGGAUAGCCCUCUUGGAUAUUAAAGCAUCUAGGGAAACUUGACAAUUAACACAAUUAAUACCAGCACAAGAAUAGACAGAAAUAUGGAAUAGAAUAGAAAGUAUAAAAAGAAACAUAUACAGAGAACAUUUGUCCUAUGAUUAAAGUUGUACUUCACAUGACUGGGGGAGAUACAGAAUUUUUAAUAAAGGAUGUUGGGACAACUGGAUAGCCAUUUGAAAAGAAAAAAUAAAAUGCAUCCAUAAUUCCAUGUCAUUUUUAACUUUAUAGAUCUCAGUGUAAAAUAAAACAAAUAUAACCACAGAAGUAAUACAAAUCUGUGGGUGAAUUUCUUGAGAGUG